rnacentral:pre_miRNA from 1 species
AGGUCGUGAUGUUUGCAAUUUUGGUAUCCAUACGAAACAAAUUGCACUCGUCCCGGCCUGC